rnacentral:rRNA from 1 species
GAUGAACGCUGGCGGCGUGCCUAAUACAUGCAAGUCGAGCGAACAGACGAGGAGCUUGCUCCUCUGACGUUAGCGGCGGAUGGGUGAGUAACACGUGGAUAACCUACCUAUAAGACUGGGAUAACUUCGGGAAACCGGAGCUAAUACCGGAUAAUAUAUUGAACCGGAUGGUUCAAUAGUGAAAGACGGUUUUGCUGUCACUUAUAGAUGGAUCCGCGCCGCAUUAGCUAGUUGGUAAGGUAACGGCUUACCAAGGCGACGAUGCGUAGCCGACCUGAGAGGGUGAUCGGCCAGACUGGAACUGAGACACGGUCGAGACUCCUACGGGAGGAAGCAGUAGGGAAUCUUACGCAAUGGGCGAAAGCCUGACGGAGCAACGUCGCGGGAGUGCUGAAGGUCUUAGGCUCGUAAAACUCUGUUAUUCGGGAAGAACAAAUGUGUAAGUACCUAUGAACGUCUUGACGGUACCUAAUCAGAAAGCCACGGCUAACUACGUG